GCUCUAUUGUUUAGUUCCACUUGCCGCUCUGGCUGCAGCAUCCUUGAUGAGUUAGAACCUGUUUAUUGUUAUUUGGUAAGUUUGUAAGAAGUGCAUUUCAUCAAUCUUACCUCUUUGGUCAAACAGGUACAGUGGAAGGACUUUCAACAACACCAGCUGUAAUCAACACUAACUUGAACGUCCUCAAUUUGAGACAAUGGACAAUGACACAGCAGCCAAACCGAAAUGAGGAAACACAGAAAAGGAAAGAGCAGUGACGCAGCCCAGUGGACAGAAGAAUGCAUUGACCUGUUGCACCAGUUACAGAGCUCCACGAUGAAGACAAAGCCGGGGGUGAAGUAGAGCAGGAGCAGAACCCCGUGGGCCAGCAGGGUGACCCGCGCCCUGGAGAAGCGGCUCUGCCAGAUGCCAUGGGUCCUUGUUACCAUGUAGAGUCGAAUGUAGCAGUAAAAAAUGAGCAAAGCACAGAAGAGCGCGGUAACGAAGAAGUAGACGUGGAUCGCUACCACGUUCUGGACCUGAAUGAGACCCAGAGAGACGAGAACUAGACAAACAGCCAACUCCUCAUCGGAAUUUCCCUUCCCAACCUCCAUCAUGAUCACCAGAGUGAAGGGGUACACGGCUGCCAGAACCCACACCCCCACCAUUAUGCGGUGGGUGCGGGCAGGAGGAAGAAGGUCGUGGUAGCGGAGAGGCCAGCGGACAGCAGCGUAGGUGUCCACCACCAUGAGGGUGAUGGUGAGGACGGUGCAGCAGUAGGCGGUGACAGUGACGGCUGUGAACAGCCCACACACGACCCAGGGGACCUGAGCACUGACUGCGAUGCAGAUCAUAAUGGCCAGGUUGAGGAUGAGGAAGAGCAUGUCGGCCAUCAGGGUGUUGGCCACCAGCAGGUAGCGUGUCUCCCGCCUCAAGGCACGGGACAGGAAGAUGCAUGACAGGAGGACAGGGUUGGCCAGCAAGGUGGCCAGGGUGACGACAAUGGUCGGGAUGAAAAAAUACUCCAUGUGCCACCCGCGCAGACACUCCACCCACUCCUGGGUGAAGUUGGCCACCAGUACUGAUGAUGUCAUUUUGUGUCACGGAUAGAGAGACACAGAUGCACUCACUGAGAUGUGAUUUACAAUGUGUUGAUUACUUCCUCCUGCAGCUUCCUGUGAAUGACAGAAAAACUUAAGUUAAUAUCAGCAACUGAAACUGAUUCAGACAUGUCAUAUCUGCUUCCUUGUUAUUUUCUAAUUAACAUCACAGUUUUGCCACCUAAUUAAGUGUGUCGGUGAAAACACAAGGAGGCUGUCCUUUGAGAUAACCCAUGUGCUGUGCAACCAAUCAAUUGAUCAAACAUCUACAUGAGGAAGAUUAACAGGAGUAAUUACUUUGUGAAUUAUGGUCUUUAAACAGUCACCCUGUUCUCAUACAUGUCAUCAUGAUGUAUUGCAGUGUGAGCAAACCUUAGAGAUUAUACAUUGUCCAUGCACUUCAGAUAUUAAAAUAUGUUCAGUUCACACGACCCACUUCAUUUGACUGCCAGAAUUCAAAUAUGAUCAGCGCACAACCAUGGACUCCCAUUGGUGAAAGAUUUCACAUGAAAAACAUAUUCAAAUGAAGCUGAAGUUGUAAACAGCUAACAGUUAACUUAAAGUAUGAAACAUUAGAAAAUAUCCAUUUAAUAUACUGCAUAAAAACAUUAAAACGGAUGAAACCAACUUUGAAUCAAUCUAAAAUCAUAAAUUCAGCUACACUUUAAGGUGGGGUGUCAGUAUUUACCGAUAGAAUUAAGAUUUUAGGGAGAAGAUUACAAACGUAAUAAUAUUGCUUUCCAUCUCCUCACAUGCUUGUCAAUACUCAAAAUCUUACAGACACAACAACUCAAUCACUCGGCUCUAUACAAACUUUGCACCUACGCACUUAUCGACAAAUUAUUGAUCGGCCAAAGGUGAGUUUUUCUUACCCGACGUCCAGAACAGAAAACUCUCUCUUCUGAUGCACAUCCAUCGAGCUUAGCACUCGUGCAAAUCAAUGGAUGCUUGGUCCGACUCGUCGUGUCCCCUGCUCUUACCUGAUGCACUCUCUGUUGACUCAUACAGAUAACAUGAGGUGGGAGAAAGCUGCUGCCACUUUGCCGUAACAUAGGAACAGGGUGGAGCUUUUCAUCCCCUUCACUGCUCCGAGUGUUGCUGAUUUUUCUAAUUCUCUACCCGAGAUGUGAAAACCGUCUAACUGGAAAUGGCUUGAUUGAAGUUUCCCUCUUUAGCAGUCAAGUCACUGACAUUCCUUCAGUUAAGGAAGAGUCCAAAAACUUCUUGAUCGAGCAAAAAGGAGAGAAAUGUUAUAACCCGUCCAUAAAGUCAUGAUCUCACGUCUGUAUGAUGUCACUUAAAUAAACACCUUUCAACUCCAAACCAGAGGGUUCUCUCAGUCGGAUCCGUCUCUAACAUUAGUUCAUUGUGAGGAAAAGACGCAGCAUCGUGUUUCCAUGUGUGUUUAAGAUAAGAAUAUUCUGUUUUAGAUAAGACUAUUCUAAGCACCUAAUAAUAAACCCGACCUCGAGAAACAGCUGAGAGUAAACAUUUUAUUGUUUCAUUUGCCAUUAGAUGUAAUUUUGUCUUAUCCCUCCAUUUCCUCUUGAAAUUAUUUUCAGUUCCCUCAUAUCGUUCUCUUUCUUGUCUUUAUGUAUCCACUCCUGCCUCCUGUCUCCUCCUCUUCAUCCUCCUCCUCUUCAGAAUAAGUGGCAUCGACAUUGAUGCUGCCUUGCUCCUUUUCCUCCUCCAGCCACUCUUUUGCCACAAGUCUUUGAAAGACAUCGUACUCCUCCACUGACGCCUUUGCAACGGCUGUGAGGAAGGUCAUCUGGUCGACGUUGAGAAUGCUGUCCAGUUUAGGGUUGAUGAUGAUGGUCUGUCCUUUCUUGUCUGGGGUUUGGUACAGGCCCCUGCGCUCCAGGAAACAGUGUCGACAUCGAACCUCAUCCAGGGAGUAACGGAACAACCUGGACUUAAUAAUCUCCGCCUGUUUGACACCCAUUCGAAAGUAGACGUACUG